rnacentral:sRNA from 21 species
GUCAACUACCCACCGCUUAUAGAAGCGGGGGCUUGCAGAAAUGCAAGCUCGGUUGAUUAGCCUCAGACACCAGCCGAAAGGCUGAUGGGGCUACGUUAUGCAGGAAUAUAUAGGCACUGCAGGAUGCUCCACAAGUCCUGCACACUGCG